AGAAUCAACGCUGGCGGCGUGCCUAACACAUGCAAGUCGAACGAGAAAGUGGAGCAAUCCAUGAGUAAAGUGGCGACCGGGUGAGUAACACGUGACUACCUACCCUUGAGUGGGGGAUAACCUCGGGAAAACCGAGGCUAAUACCGCAUAAUAUCGAAAGAUCAAAGGAGUAAUCCGCUUUUGGAGGGGUCGCGGCUGAUUAGCUAGUUGGUAGGGUAAUGGCCUACCAAGGCGAAGAUCGGU
rnacentral:rRNA from 1 species